rnacentral:rRNA from 1 species
GGUUUUUAGAUUUAAUUAAAAAUCAAGCCUGCUCAAUGCUAAGUAAAUAGCCGCAGAAUUUUAACUGUGCAAAGGUAGCAUAAUCACUUGUCUUUUAAUUGAAGACUAGAAUGAAAGGUUUAACUAUGUAAUUUUGUCUUAUAGUAAUAUUUUGAACUUAAUUUUUUAGUAAAAAAGCUAAAAUCCAUCUUAAAGACGAGAAGACCCUAUUAAGCUUUACAAUUUAACAUUAUUCUCAAAUUAAUUAAAAAAUUGUUCUGCUGGGGCAGCAAAUAAAAAAAUAUUAUCUAAAUAUUGUGAUAAAUAAAUCUAGAAAAAUCAAUAAUUUAUUAAAAAAUAAUAAGUUACUAUAGGGAUAACAGCAUAAUUUUUUUAAAGAGUUCUCAUCAACAAAAAAGUUUGUGACCUCGAUGUUGGAUUAAGAAUCCUAUUUCACGCAGUAGUAGAAAAAGGAAGUCUGUUCGACUUUUAAAUUCUUCCA